CCUUUUUUUUUUCAUUGAGAUCUGAAAAUUUGUGAGACCCGCCACUUAGCUUUUUUUUUCAUUCCUGAGAUAUGAAAAGAUGUGAGACCGAGAGACCCAUUUCCUCAAUUCCAGUGAGACCGCGAGACCCAUUUCCUCGUGAGACCGAGAGACCCAUUUCCUCAAUUCUAGUGAGACCGAGAGACCCUGAAAAUAUGUGAGACUGAGAGACCCAUUUCCAUUUCCUCAACCAUCUCCAGUUCACUCAACCCAAAACUCUGAGGCGCUGAUCUUCUAUCUCCGGCAAGCUCCAAAAUCUAAGGUUCUGCCCUCCUCCAUUCAUCUAUUUAUCUUCCCUUUUCUUGCUAAAGCCAAAUGCAUUUCGUCACUUUCAUUCCUCUGCCUCUCUCUCCCUCCUCGACGAAGCCCUAAUGCUCUCAGUAAGGUAUUGAUACUAGCCUUGUUUUUUGAAUUCAGAGUCAUUGGCACUGCAUGAAAGAACACGGAAGACUAGGGCCCGUGAGGCUGAAAUUUCUUUACAGGGGAAAUUGGUAGAUCCCCAGCGCAAAAAGAGCAAAGCAAGUUUACGGUAGCUUGAUGAGUAGCCUGAAUGGUUGAGGGGAGGAAAGCUGUGUGAUUAUCAGCUUGAGGGUCUGAUACUAAUGUUAUUUUAGCUGAUGAGAUGGGUCUUGGUAAAACUGUUUAGUCAGUAUCCAUGCUUGGGUUUUUACAGAAUGCUCAACAUAUCCAUGGGCCAUUUCAUGUUGUUGUACCAUUAUCCACAUUGUCAAACUAGGCAAAAGAAUUUAGGAAGUGGCUACCUGAGAUGAAUAUUAUUGUAUAUGUUGGUACUCGUGCAAGUCGAGAGGCCUCUACAAGGGAGCUUUAUGAUAGGGUGUGUAGCCUUCGUAGAGUAGAAAAAGAAAAGGUACUUAUUUGGGACUAUUUCAAUAAAUGGCGAACUCAAGGCUGAGUAACUCAAACCAAACUUUGGAGGAGGCAAACUUGCAGAUGGAUCAAGAAGCUGUAAAUUGAUUUUAAAACUCAGGGGUUUACGUGCCAUUGGGAAUGGAUGUAAGAAGCUAAAAGAUCUCACUCUAAGUGACUGCUAUUUCCUAAGUGACAAGGGUUUGGAAGCUAUUGCCACUGGUUGCAAGCAACUUACUCAUCUUACAGUAAUGGGUGCCACAAUAUUGGUACUCUGGGACUUGAAUUCAUUGGGGAAUCUUGCUUAUGUUGUGCUUAUCUGAGAUCACAGAGAAAGUGAAUGACAGGUGGGAUCGUCAUCUUACAGAACAAGGAUCUUAAAAAAACAGAGUAUUUGUAGCCUCUUAUAACCCAGUAUUUCUAUUGAAAUUACUUCAAUCUUUUAAAUUUCUCUAAUCGUCAUAUUUCUCUAGACUGAUGCAGCAAAAUGAAAAAAUAUAUUCUCAUUAUAUAGUGUAGAGCAAAAUAUAUAUAUAUAUAUACUACUAGUGAUAGUGAAAAUGAAAAUGAAAAAAUAUAUUCUCAUUGAAGAUCACUUCUGUUUUUUUUGGGCCCAUUUUACUCUUAGUUGUUGCCUUUUAUUGUUCAUUUUGCAUCUAAUUUUGUUAUCUAUUUUCUGUAUAUUGCUUCAAAGUUCCUUAUGUGUUUGCUACUAGUCUUCAUGUCUAAAUUUUAUUAAGUCAUUUCUCUUGUACAUUUGUUUCUGUGUAUAAAAUAAAAUCUAUAGUUCUUGCUAGUUCUAGAGCCAAAGUUCUGUGUAAUCUAUAGUUCUUGCUAGUUCUAGAGCCAGAGUUCCCAGAUUGCUUCGAGUGUUACCGUUAACUUCAGAAUUAAAUCGAACAGCUGGUGUAUUUGCUUAAACUGCUUGGGCAGGUUCUGCAUACUAUCUGCUAUUGUACAUGCUAGCAGUCAUGUGAGUACCCAUUUAGUUUUGUAGUAACAUAUUCUUGAGAAAUUUCUCUUGCCAAAUUCCUAUUUAAAUAAAAAUAAACCAUUAUGAUUGAUAAUAUGAAAUGAUUGCUACUGAAACUGAAAGUUGAAACAACCUUAAAUCAUGUUGCCAACAGUAAAAACAUAGGAUAAACUGUAAUUGAAACCAGCUUUAAUCAUGUUGCCAACAGUAAAAUCAUAAAAGAAAUCAUAUUAAACAGAUUUAAAACUUGUUACACAACAGUGAACACUAAAUUUGAACAACUGUGAAACGUGCAUGACACUAAAUUUACUUCAGGCUUUCCUAAAAGAGUUCAUAGAUAAAAUUAGCAAGUUAAUUUUCUGAAAACAAGCAUUCAGAUUUAAAGUUUAUAAAUAAUGUUUUAUAAGUUUUGAUAAAGCAUUCUGUUAGCGAAGCUCUUCUUAGAAGGUACUAAAAACACAAAAGGCAAACCAUCAAAGAUAGAACAAGCCAGAAUAACAUAAUAUUCUACAUUACCUUAUCUCACUUCAAGCUAAAUCUCAAAGACAAAAAACACAAUCAAAGGCCAAAAAUUGACCUUGAACAUGCCAAAUACUGCUUCAGUCCAACUUGUUCUAAGGAACUUCCGGUAGCUAAAAACUACCAACUAGUGUAGUGUUGGAUAAGAAAAACAGCAACUGCUUUAAUGGACUCCUCUAGAAUGUAUUGGUAUUGUGAAUAUUGAGAUAAAUCAAUCUUUUAGUCUGUGAUGGUGUUUACCACUGACCGUUUUUCCUGAUUGCAAUAUAUCUCUAAUUACAAUAUUUCAGGGCUAAUAACUCAUUAUAAUUAAGUAUUAUAUAUUUUAAUUUCCAAUGCCCACAUGCUGUAGAAAUUAAGAUUAGUUAGGUUGUCCAUUUAUUUUGUGUAUGGCUUAGUAUUAUAAAAAACUAAAUAAAGUAUGACUUAGUCUUCCUCUUCUCUCAUUAGCAUAGUAAUAAUAUUAUUUGUCCGUUUCAAUCAACCAAAUUAAAAUAUUUAAAAACACUAGUAGAGAGAUAAUAGAACAAUUUGUUGGAUCAAUGAUAGAACAAUUUGUUGGAUCAAUGAUAGAACAAUUUGCAACAAUAUCUUCAUUUAAACAACAAGUGGAAGGUUUAUCAGACCUAGACCACUGGGUUGAAUUAUUGAUUCGUUUACUGUGUGCUGUCCCUCGCUGGAGUGAGAAAAAUGUCCAGGUAUUUAAAGGGUUCAUUGCUGCAGAUAUCUAUCUUUUUUACCUUUGUGGAUAUUUUUUGUUGUGAAGAUAGUUAUUUGAAUUGUCCACACACCUCAAUUUCCUUUUAAAUAUUUAGUUGAACUGCUCCCAAACAUUGAUUUUUUUUUUAUAAUUAAUUUGUAACUCCCUCCCACCCCUUUUCUUUUGUAGAUAUUAAAGGGUUUCUUUCUGAUGUUAAACAUGGACUUCUUAGUGCACUGGAUACAGAGUAUGAGAAGAAUCCAUUUGAGGGUGCAGCAGCAGCUCCAAAGAGAACUAUUAAAUUAGCAGAACCUACAUCUGCAUCUUCUGGUGGACUAGAUGGCCUGCCACAGGAAGAUAUUAGUGGGAAGAUUACACCUACCCUGCUUAAAGGCUUAGAAAGUACUGAUUGGAAGGCUCGCUUGGAGUCAAUUGAAGCUGUGAAUAAAGUUUUGGAAGAGGCUAACAAGCGCUUCCAACCCAAUGGAACUGACCUCUGUUUCUGUCUCCUUUUGGUCUUAAAGCAGUGAGUUGGCAUGUUGUAUUGGCUUCUUCUACUGUAUAUACUACUGGUAUAUUGAGAUUAUUUCUUUGGAGCAAUUCUUGACAACAUUUGUAGUUGAGGCCUUUAGAAUGGAAGAAUGUAUUUCAUUAAUUUUUGUAUACAUUUCUUGUUUUGUAUUUAGUGAUAAAGGAAUCUGAAUUGGGCAUAAAUUAUGUUCUUAAGCCUAGACUAGUAUACUAAAUAUUGUAAUUACAUUUGAGUAAUUAAUAAAAAUCAAUUUAUGUUACCUUA